rnacentral:rRNA from 1 species
AUUGAACGCUGGCGGCAGGCCUAACACAUGCAAGUCGUACGAGUUGCUGCUGGGUGAGUAAUGACUGGGAAACUGCCUGAUGGAGGGGGCUAAUCACUGGAAACGGUAGCUAAUACCGCAUACCAUCAGAUGUGCCCAGAUGGGAUUAGCUUGUUGGUGGGGUAACGGCUCACCAAGGCGACGAUCCCUAGCUGGUCUGAGAGGAUGACCAGCCACACUGGACCUGAUACACGGUCCAGACGCCGACGGGAGGCAGCAGUGGGGAAUAUUGCACAAGGGGCGCGAGCCUGAUGCAGCCAUGCCGCGUGUAUGAAGAAGGCCUUCGGGUUGUAAAGUAAUUUCAGCGGGGAGGCGUUACCCGCAGAAGAAGCACCGGCUAACUCCGUGCCAGCCGCCGCGGUAAUAC